rnacentral:lncRNA from 1 species
UGUUAAUGGAAUAUGGGAGGCUGAAUGCCGAUUUCCCAUUGGCUGGUGAAGGUCUUUAACUGCUAGGGAAGACCAGCACAGUAAACAGGAAGUCAUCUCCAUGGCAACUGGCCAUUCAACUUAACUUUUUAACACACGAAGAGGUUGGAAGAUGAAACCAAGGGAAGACAGGACUGAAGGCCACGCAGGGCAGGACUCAGAACCUGAGGAUGCAGGAGGCUCGGAGACCAGGGAACGUUCUGUUGGAGGCAAUCAACAAUCCUUGGGAACUCACCACAGGAGCCAGAGUCCAAGGCAGCUUCCCUGGCCUUUGCCCACCCGGGAAAAUUUGUCUUCCCUACUAGGAGGAUCAGAGCUCUCUCUGCCUGGGAAGGAGAAGCUGUCCAAAAUCGCAGAGCCUGGCUUGGAAUUGAAGUUUGGCCUUUAACCUUCGGAGAAAGAGUAUCUGCAUGGCUGUGAAGACCAACUGUGACGACAAAAGAAGUAGAUUUAUUAAUAUAAAUAUUGGCUACUGUGAAGAGGGCAUAGUUUUUUCCUUGGCAUUUGGAUUACGGAUUUAUUAGAGUCA